AGCUGUGAAGCUCUGUCCUCAGCUCCCAGUCCUCUAGUCUGAGAGAGCUGGACCUGAGUAACAACAACCUGCAGGAUUCAGGACAGAAGCUGAUCUCUGAUGAACUGAAGAGUCCACACUGCACACUGGAGAGUCUCAGACCGAGUCGCUGUUAC